UCGGAGGGCGGAGGUUGCAGUGAACUGAGAUCUCGCCACUGCACUCCAGCCUGGGUGACACGGUGAGACUCUGUCUCAAGAAAAAAAAAAAGAAAAAGAUUUUGCAAGUCAUCAUCCUAUAUUCUGUGCAAAGCAUAGAGUCUUUCCCAAGAUCCUGAGAAUUCCUGGGAGCUUAUAUUCUGAUCACCUCUCACUCUUAAUUCCUGCUGCUAUUGCAUUCUUGUGACUGUGACUGAGUUGUUUUGCUCCAGACUCUGAUGCUGCCCUUGCUGCCUCAUUCCCCAAAGCACCAGGCGCAAGCAUGUGCAUGUAACAGACUUUCCUUCAAGAGUUGAGGGUAAAAAAGUGAGUUAUAGCACAAUGCAGAGCCGAAAGGCAGGGCAGGAAUCAUUACCUGCUUUGUACAAAGAGAAAACAAAAGCUCAGAUAUUAACCAGGUGACCUGACUAAAGCUAUACAGCAAGUUGGUAAAAGAACUAGGCCUGGAAUGAGCUCUCCUGAUCCAGACUCUAGAAUCAGCAUUUCACAAUUCUGAACUUCUGGAAUCCAAAGAGCUGUCCAGGUUUAGGUUAAGAACAGUUCCUUACACACAGAAAGACGGUCCUGGGUGGCGGGCAGUGAAAGAAACCUGGGGAGCUGGGGAUCUCCAUGAGCGUGGCUCACCUCCCCCUCUGUCUCCUGGAGCUGACCCUUGCUCAUAUCCCGUGGGAACAAGCCCCAGGUGAAUCAAACCUUUACUGAGGCCCUGCUCAAGACAGGCACAGUAGUGCAGCGGGUUUAAUCUUCACUAUGGUUCUGCAAGGCUGGCAUCAUUAUUCCCCAUUUUAGUUGAGAAAACAGUCUCCAAGAGUGGAAGUGACUUGCUCAAGGUCAUACAGAUAGUCAGGCCAGGCGAGCCUGAGGACUCCUAAUCCCAGGCUCUGCUACAAGCUCCAUGGCAUUGCCAAAAUUGACCACCAGGUGGCAAUCUCCCCCAACUUCCUGCAGGCCACAGGCACCCUGGAAUUUUAAGCAGUAAUGCCUGUGGUUGGUGGCAGAACAGCAGUCUCUGCUUGGAAACUCUUUUGUCAGUUUUGAAACUCUUUUGUCCCCAGGGGGAAAUUGAUGCCCAAGAGGGAUGGUGGCUUUACAGAUGAAGAAGUUCUAUGUGUGUGUGCAUGUGAGCAUGGGAUCUGCUUCUGGUUCCAAGGCUGAUGGACUCUGCCGACCUGUUGUUAGCUGGGAGUUGGUGGGCAUGACUUUCCUGGCACAAUGUUCAGUUUCUCCUCUGUGCCUGCUGUUGCCAAGCCACACUCAGAGAUGGGCAGCUGAGUUUUCCUUGGACUCCAUCAGAGGCCCACGGUUCAGCCUCUUGUUUAGGUGGGGUCAGUCUUACCUGGUCUGAGGCCAUCUGAACAGCCCUGUGAAUCCUUCCCCUAUUGUAAUCUGUGUGCUUCUUUGCAUGGAGCCAUGGAAACUCCUGUCAUCUUCCAUGCCUGCCUAAAGCCAGGAAACACUGGGAGAGAGUCCUGUGCAUUCUUCCUGCAGAACUCACCAUGUUCCCUUAAGGCUUUACUGGACGGACCAGACCCUCUCAGCAGGUUUCCUGCCACUGGAUACUCCUUUACCUCUGUGCUGCUCAGUGGCAGCCCCAUGGUGGGCCUGUGAGUUCUCGGUGCAGCAGGCUUUCUGCCCGGAUGCCAGGUGAGGCUCCCUUUCUGGCAGGCACGCCCAGCUUCUGUGCAGGGCUUGGGCACACUCUCCAUUCCCCAUCAUGGCAGUGACUCUCAGCACAAACACCACACUGUUCACAAGGCCACCCUGACUUCUCCCCUCUUCCCUCCUAUGUCCUCUCUUUGUGUGUGUGUGCAGGUGUACGCUCCUUCAUAUCUCUCUUUACAGAGUGUGGUCUUACAGCCUCUUGUUCUCAGCUUUGGGCCUUCACUGCAACUCCACAAAUCCAGAACUCAAGGAAAGUCCUGCUCUACAUCCUGUCAAGUAAAGGUGAAGAAAUUGAAGGUCAGAGAAUUGACUUGGCCGAGGUCACACAGUCUUCUGAUCUUUGGCCUACAGCCCAAGAGGGGAAGGGAGGAGCAGGUGCUUGGGAGAUGAUAGGGGAGGGAGGCAGCUGCCACUGAAAAAUGAAAGAAGAUGGGGAAGAUAGGAGGUGGGGGCAGGAUUCCAUGUCAGAAAGGCAAAUGACCUGAGUCCCAAUGUCCUAUGCACUGUAAUGGCCAUGAAAAUAGCUGCAGAUUUGCCUGCAUUUGUGUGACUAAGAUUUAUUGUGCCAGCAACUCUGGUAAUUGGAUGAUGAAAGCACUGCAGCUAGGACUGUUGGCUGGAGAUUAAUUAUUAGAGAAAGAAGGUAGGAUGGGGAGUAGCCUGGAUGGUGCCCAGCUGUGGAGAGACUGGAACCCACUAGAAGAGCAGGCAGGCAGACCUCAGACAUCUAGUGGACCCCCUCCCCACUCAGCAAAGAUCCAGGGAGGGAGGCAACUGGACUGGGCCAAGGCCACAACCAUUCUACAGCAAGGUUGGCUGAGAGCUCUUCUCUGAGUGAAGCUGAUUUUCCAGAAAAGACGGGCAGCUACAGCAGCAGGAAGGACCUGCACUUGGAGUCUGAGACCAGAGGGGAAGCCUCAGCUUUGUCUCUUACUGGCUAUGUGACCUUGGGAAGGUGACUUAGCCUCUUCAAACCUCAGUUUUCCCAGCUGUACAAUGGAGAUGAUGGCGUUGACUUUACUAGGAAGUCAUGAGUCUCCAAGGAGAUUAUUGGGUCCUAUUUAGAUCUAGGAUCCACUCAGAGACAACUUUCAUUCUUACCCCCUCUGCUCAGGUCUGGCCCUCGUCCUUCCUGCCUGGAUCCUGUGAAUCCCUUCCCUGCUUUCUCAUCAAGCCCUAAAACCCCUUAGCCACUGUGGGGACUUCCUGCGUGAAUGUCAAGUCUCCCAAGUAGGAACCUAAAAGGGACUGGGAGAUGGGGGACAGGGGUGGAUCCCAAGAAGAAGUCAUUUUCCCUCUCAGCCUUAGUUUUCUCAUCUGCAAAAUGGGAAUAGGCUUUAUUUGGAUUUACUCCAUUGCAAAGAACAGCAAACCACUUGAGCCCAACCAAGUGGGUUGGGGAAGGAGCCAACUUUGGGGACUGGAACUGGAACCUGCACACUGGAAGGAACACAGGUCACUUGGGGGCUAGCUUCUCCUCCAUUUCUUUGUCAAUGGGUCUCUGUUGCUAUCUGCUCACCUUCCACUACUCAUAGGUGUAUUCUUUCCCUCUCUCCUGUCUGUCUCACAGCUUCUGCUUCCUCAAAAUCUCUGUUCUAGCACAACUUUUUCUUACAUGUGACUGCUCAUGGCUACAACUCAACUCCACAGUUUGUUCCUCUGGGCUCCUUUGUAGAAACCAGCAGUUUCUCCCCAUCCUGCUCAAUUCACAUGCAUGAUAGAGGGACUCUGAUUGGCCCUCUGAUUCUUCCUGCCCAACCUUGCCAGAGAUUUGUAGACUGGUUUAUGGUCUGCAAGGCCCUCAUAGAUUUGUGGGAGUGACAUGCCCUGGAUGGGCAGCAGGGAGGGGCUGAAGUUGGAUUACCUCAUGUAUAUAAAGUGCUACAACAGUGCCUGGCAUACUAUAGGACUCAGAAAACUCUGAUUGAAUGAAACUCAGAAACCUUCCUCUCCCACCAUAGACCCUUCUCCCGGCCCCUCCCCUUUCCCUCACCUUUGCAGAGGCCUCCAGCCUUGGAUCCCUCUUAUUCCUGCAGAUUUUCUUGGCCUCCCUUCCUUCUCUGGCCAGCCUGGACUUGGGGUAGGGUGAUCCUCCUGCCCCAAUCCUCUAUAGCACCCUGCUCUUCAAAAAACUUUGCACUUAAAUCUCCCAACCUCAGCUCUGCUCUCCCCAUCGGCAGACUCCCUGCCAAGGUCUGUGUCACUGGGAAGGGAGUAGGAGAGCUUCAUAAGUAGCUAUCAUUCACUGAGCACCUCUAAGUACCUGUCCCCAUGCUCAGUGCUUUACCCAUUUAAGAACUCUUUGCAAUCUUCCCUUGAGAUGGAGUUUUUCCAGAUGAGAAAACUGAGAUUGAGCAUGGUGAAGUGAUGUGAACCCAGCUCUAACUCCAAAUCUUUUGCUCAAGAGCAAAGCUGUUGGUGUGAACUCUAUCAUCAUUUCUCCCUUCCAAAUGGAGUUUCCACAGGCCACACCAAUAUUUUCCCCUUUCUUUCUGGCUUUACAAAAUGAAUUAGCUAACAGCUGAUUUUUAUUACCACUAACAGAUAAUUUUUGUUAAGAACUUAACAUGUGUUAGGUGCUGUUCUGAGCACUUUAUCUGUAUCAACUUAUUCAAUCUUUAUAACAACUCUAUAGGAGAGACACUAUCAGGAUCGCUGUUUUGCAAAUCUCUGCCUUAGCUUAAGGAAGGACCAAACUCACAUGGUCCUGGUGGAGCCAGGAUUCAAAGCCUCACUCCAGUUCAAGGCCUGGGAGCCCAUUUUCUGCCUACUUCCUCUAGGAACUGCUUCCAUCAAUCCCUCCCUCACCUCUUUAAGCUACCUCUCUCCCCUGGCUCCUUAGCAUUCAAUGUGUUUAUAACUUUCCCAUCUCAAAAGUGUCCUCAAACCCAUGUUACUCUGCAGUCACUACUCUUUCCUUCCUCUCUGUCAUAGCCCAAUUUCCUGAGUUUCUCUACUUGCUAGCUAUUCUUCCUUACCCCUCUUCACACCAACCUCCACUCCCCCGCCCCCUCUACCUAAACUGCCCUAAGCUUAGAAAGAUUGUGCUGCCACAUUUCCGAAGGAAAAAAAUACUCCCUUCAAUAGCCUAAAAAUCCUGUCAAUCAAACUUGAAAUCAGCUUUGUAAAUUGUAAGACAUGUCACAGCUCUAGUAGUUCUGAAACAAAUUUUUUAGCAAGAUUAAAGGACGAGCAAAGAUAAAUACUGAAUACUUUGGUAUAACUCAAUUGGUGAUGACACCUCAGUUGAGCCUUCUCUAUGCAGCUGGAGUUUUGCUUUUCUGCUCAAAUGCCCUCUAAUGUUAUGCCAAGGUAUCAUUCAAGUAUAAAGACAACAGCUAAAGUGUCCUUAAAGGCAACAGACCAAUACCUGCACUGUUCUGUUUCACUUCAUCCACACAGUUUUUAUUCUUCUUCACCCAUUUAACAUUUCGGCCAUGGUGGACUGUGAGUUCUUUAUUGGUAACUAAAAUUAUUUGUAAACAGUAUUAAAAUAAGUCUCCUUUUUACCUUCUUGGUGGUUUCUCAGUUGUCAUACCCCCAUCUCUCCUGUUUCCCUUCCUAAUACUGGUACUUCCCUCACUUGGCUAAGGAUGUCUGGGAGAGGUUGGAUAGGAGUUACUAGUGUCCCAGUAACGCUGGUCAAAACUCUCCCCAUGCCCAGAGCCCAGAGAUAAUUCAGGGCCACAAGUAGAGUAUGUAUAGGUCCCUCCAACUGUUUGUUAACACUGUGUCCAUGAAGACUACCUUGCCAAGGUUUCCAGUGACUGCUGCAUGGAGCUCUUCUGCCCCACUGUUGCUUGCUGGUCUCUAAACCCAGGUCAAGUUUUUAGCUUUCACCUUACUGACUGCUGGGCAGCAUCAGGGACCAUUUACUCCUUGACCUUCCUGAAGCAAUUUCAUAUUGCGUCACUCUACUUUCUCAUCUGCCCUCUUAAGCUCAUCCUCUAAGGUCUGGAAUUCUCCAAGAUCCCACCCUUUAUCUUCCAUUCACCAUACACACUCCCUUUAAUGACCUAAACCACUCACAUACUGUGAGUACUCAUUUGUCAGCAAUUCCCAAAUCUCUAUUUCCAGACAGGUCCUGGCUCCACACCCAAAUAUUCAAUUGCCCUCCUGUUCAACUGGCCAAAACCAAACUCACCUGUUUCUCCCAAGCCUGCUCCUCCUUUUGUGCUCUCUCUCUCUCUCUCCCCACUCAGUCUUCCUGCCCAGAAGCUUGCACAUCAUUUUUAAACACUCUCUGUCUUUUGCUUUCCAUUUCCAAAGAUUCACAAAAAUCAGAUGGAGUCUGCCUUUGUCCAUUUUGUGUUGCUAUAAAGGAACAUAUAAGGCUGGAUAAUUUAUAAAGAAAAAAGGCUUAUUUGGUUCCCAAUUCUGGAUGACUGGAAAGCUCAGCAUUCAUCUUCUGCAUCUGGUGAGGGCCUCAGGCUGUUUACACGCAUGGGUGAAGGUGAAGGGGAGUUGGUGUGUAUAGAGAUCAUAUGGAGAGAGGGGAAGCUCUCAAGAGGGAGGGGGGAGGUGCCAAGCUCUUCUUAACAACCAGCUGUCAUGAGAACCAAUAGACUGAGAACUCACCCCUAAGGGAGGGCAUUCAUCUAUUCAUGAGGGGUCCACCCCCGUGACCCAAAUGCCCCCCAUUAGGCUCUGCCUUCAACACUGGGGAUCAAAUUUCAACAUAAGUUUUGGAGAGGACAAAUAUCCAAACCAUGGUAGAGUCUAUGCCCCUUUAGGCUCUCUAGAAACUGUACCUUCCUUUCUAGGAAGUAGAACACAGUAGAAAGACCUGGUUGGACAGGUAUAGGCUUUAGGGUUAGACAGACCUGGGUUGAAAUCCUGCCUCUAUCACUUAUCGGCUGUGUGAUUGUAUAUUAAGGGCAACUCUCUUAAUACAUUCAAGUCUUCAUUUCCUUAUCUACAAAAUGGGGAUAAUAAUCUACUUUGAAGAGUUAUUGUGAGAAUUAGAAACAAUGAUGUGCAUACUUAAGACUGCCUGUCCCUAGCAACACUUAAUGAUAGUAUUCAUUAUAAUAAUGAUGAUGAUGAUUUCUGGCUCCACUGUUAUUGCUUUAUCUAGGAUAUGGUCUUCCCUCUCCUGAACCAUCACAUCAGCUUCCUCACUGGGCUCUCUGUCUUUACUCUCUGUUAACUGCCAAAUCUGCUUUUCACAUAGUAGUCAGAAAAAUUUUUCUAAAGUGAAUUUAGAAAAAAUUUUUCUAAAGUGUCAAAUCUGAUCAUGACACUCACCUGCUUAAAAUGGUUUUCUCCCCCCAUUCCAUCUACCCUAUGCCCCAGCCAUACUUGCAGGUCUCUGAGCACACAUUGGUCACGCACUCCCUUCUGCCAUGCUUUAUUCAAGGAGUUCCCUCUGCCUAAGCCCGAAUGUAUUCUGUCCCUCCCCUCCCUCACAUCCUACCUGGCAAAUUCUCAUUCGUCACACCCAGUGCCAAUGAAUGCCACCCCUCCUUGGGAUGUCUGUUUGAGUCAACUGCUAGCUCCUUGAGGUCAGGGAUCGGGUUUGAUUCUUCUUUGUGGCCCCCUGCCAUCCUGCACAGGGCUUGGUAUAAAGAAGGCCUCAUCAAAUAUUUUCAGACACUUGCUCAAGGUUGCAAAAGGGGUCAGCAACAGGGUUGAGGCUUGAACCCAGGUCUCUCAUCUUCCUGCCUAGGAUUCUCCUCUACACAUGCCAUUUUGCUCCAGUGGAGAACAGGAGUGCAGGGUUAGUGGGUUGGGGGUGGGGGACCUCCUCAUGUGAGGGCAGCAGGCAACCUGAGGACAUCCCACGCUCCACCUCAGUGCUGCAUCUGCUACACAAGGGAAGGAUAAAAUUAUCCACUGCCCACGUCAUGUAUCUCCCCAUCUGACAGGGACUAGAGAUAAAAAAUGAAUGACACAAAAUCCAAUCUUGCCUGGUACAGAAGCUGGCGGGGGUGGAGGUGGAGCUGGCGGCCCGAGCAGCCGCUCAUUGCACAGCGCAUCUCAUAUUUAUUGGCUCAUAAUUGAAGGCAGCCUGGAGAUGUCCCAGCAUUGGCCCCUGGCAAGACAGAUGAGGGCACAAUGACUGUGGAGGCAGAGAGUCAGGAUACAGACUUUCUCACAGGACUGCAGCCACAGAAGGGAGGCGAUGGUGGGGAGUGGAGACAGCUAGCUGGCUAUUGCACUGGCCCCCGGGGUCUGACUCAGGUUCUAGGUCCUGCUCUGCUACCCACUUGUGAUUACCUUGAACCAGACCCUCCCCUCUCUAGGCCAGUAAUUUUAGCCUUCUUGAUUUCAUUAUCAGGGUUUAGGAAAACCAUUCUGGGAGUUGGGAAAAUCUGGGCUGCUAACUUGCUGUGUGGCUUUAGGUGAGUUUCUUUACCUCUAAGUGCUUUGUGCUUUCUCUUUGUGAAGAGGAAAGGAUGCCUCUCUCUUCUCCAUAAAGACUGAAGGGGUUGGGUUGGCCUAGGAGCAGCCAGUUUGUGCAUUUUAGCAACUGGAAACCUUCUGGUUGGGGGAAGACAAACAAGAAAUGCUGCCAAAUAUUAAGAACCUGCAAUGACUCCUAAUUGGUCACAGAAAUGGUCCAAAUUCCCAGGCUUGGCAUUCAAGGCUGGGAAACCUGCAUAGUCCUACCUCUAGUAUUUGUGUUAUUAUGGGAAAGUGUCUGGGGCUGGCAGCCAGGAAGCCUGGGUUCUGGACCAGUUUCACCACUAUCUAGCUCUGUGAUCUUUGGCAAGUUCUUGAUCAUCUCCAGGUCCCAGUUUCCCCAUCUGUAAAAUUUACAUAGGUGAUCUAUGAAGUAAUUAGGGUGCCCAAGCCCAGAGCAAGUCAAAUGCCAAGUUCUAUCCUCUCUCCCUUUAAGUGUUCCCUAAAUCCAUUCCUCCCUCACCCCUAUUCCGUUCUAAUUAUGACCACUGUCUCACCUCAGUACUCCUUUCUCUCUUCCUGACCAGUGCAGUAGCCUCUGGCCUCCCAGCCUCCAUCCACCCCCUCCAUACUCCAGUCAGAGUGACUCAGAAAGCAUGUGCCUGACCAUGCCCCUUGCCUGCAUCAAGUCCUUCCUGUGCUCCCCACACAGCUCUCAGCCGAGCUCCUGAGUGUCACAUGGAAGGUCCUGCAUGAUCUGGCUCUAUCUUGUCUCUUCUCCCACUCCUCCUGUGCCCCAACUAUCUGUACCAUUCAGCCUGGCCUCUUUACCACCCUCUCUCCAGCUCAGACUCCAGGAUGAGGCUUUCCCAAGCUGGCCAGGAGGAGGCCCUGUGGCCCUGAACACAGCAGUAGGUGGGGUCAGUAUUGUGCCUAAACUCCUGUUCUGCCUUUCCAGAAGCUUCUGGAGUUCCACGCCCCAUAGGGGUCCUGCUCCAUGGAGUCCCCAGAGCAUCAGGUGUGAAUGCUGCCUGUUCUCCCUCCUUCUGCUGACAACCAGAGAAUGUCUGAGCCAAAGGGGCCCCAGAGGUGACCUUGACCUCCUAAAACCCCACAUUGUAUAGAUGGAGAAACUGAGGCCCAGGGAGGAGCAGUGGUCACACAGCAAGUCAGUGUACAGCAGGGCUGGAGCUCUGCCUUGUGCCUGCUCCUUGGGGUGGGGGACACAGGGCUGGAGUAGGGUAGCCAUAGAGAGAACACUCCACGUGCUGGGACAGAAGGGGCCAUCAGCCCCCCCUUCAGUGGUGGAGGUGAGAUACUCAGCAGGAGACUCAGGGCAGGGAAAGAGGUUUCUGCCGGUCUCAUUCCCAUCCUCACCUCGCCCCCUGCUGGUUCUGUCCCAUUAGGGCUUCCAGGUCUCUGUACUUUACCUCCUGGCCACAUGUCCAGCCUUCCUGAGGUGGGAUAGGGAAAGUGGGGAAUCAAGGUAGCCAGGGCAAGCAUUUGUGAGCAUUUACAGUCAGAGCUGUGAGGACCUCUACAACAUCCUGCCAAGUACCUAUCUAGUAUGUUUUGGGCUCGCCAGUGACAGGGACUCACUUUCUCCUAGAACAGCACCACUCUUUGGGAGACAUUUGGCCCAGGCGAAAGAGACUUCUCAGGAGAUGCUAGGGUUAUCUGCAGCGUGUGCUUCUGGGCCCAGCAUCAGGUGAUGCAGAAAAUGAGAGAGAGACGGCUCACCUCCAGGAUGGCAUUUCUCCAGGCCUAAUCAAUUAUCAGAUGUUGUGGUUUCUGGCCCCUUCCCAGGGCACAGGGUCCCUUAUCAGAGCUUUUAGUCCACUGAAUCCAAUCCUCAGAGAUUGCAGAAGGGAAGACUGAGACCCAGGGUAGGGGUAGGAUUUGCCUAGUUCCCCCAGCAUCUUAGGGCUGGGCCUAAGACCAGAAACCAAGGCCCCAGGUCUCAGCUGGGAGCCCUCCCGGCAUACUAUGUUCCCACUCUAUGGCAUGGAGUGUGGGGCAUGGGGGACUUGCAAAGAGACAGAGAGGAGUAAGUGGUGAGAAGGGCUUGUGAUAGAUGAAUAGAAGCCUUCCCUGCAGGAGCUCAGAGUCCAGGGAGAGGGCCACAGGCAAGGGAAGGCUUCCUUGUCCCUCCCUACAGGAUAGUGCAUGCUUCGUCUGGGAGGCAGCAACAGUUGUGCACAAAGGCCACCAUUUAGCCCUUGCUCACCCAGGAAGCCCUCUCUGUGUGCGUGUGUGUGUGUGUGUGUGUGUGUGUGUCUGUCUGUCUGUCUGCGGACUGCCUCUGCCCUCAAUGGACACCAUUUCUAAUUCAUUCACCAGGAAAAGUGGGCUUUUUUACUAUCCAUCUGCCAUGAGGGGAUUUGCAUAAAUCCUCUCUUUGGCUGUGGUAUAGGAUAAUGGUGGCUUGGGCCAUGUAAACACCUGCAGAUAAGUAGUUUGAAGCCAGGAGAGACAGGGCCUUGAAUGCCAGACCAAGGAGUCCAGACUUUGUCCCACAAGAAAUGAGGAUGCAAUGAAGGUUUUCAAGUACAGAAUGUCAUGGUCACAUGUGUUCUAGGAAGAUCUCU